ACAGCAGUCGCCGCGGUAAUACGUAGGGUGCAAGCGUUAAUCGGAAUUACUGGGCGUAAGGCGUGCGCAGGCGGUUUGUUAAGACAGAUGUGAAAUCCCCGGGCUCAACCUGGGAACUGCAUUUGUGACUGGCAAGCUAGAGUGUGGCAGAGGGGGGUGGAAUUCCGCGUGUAGCAGUGAAAUGCGUAGAUAUGCGGAGGAACACCGAUGGCGAAGGCAGCCCCCUGGGCCAACACUGACGCUCAUGCACGAAAGCGUGGGGAGCAAACAGGAUUAGAUACCCCCGUAGUCCCUGUCUCUUAUAC
rnacentral:rRNA from 1 species